GACCAUAUGGUUAUUAUAACUCCAGUAAUGUUCAAUGGCUAAUGUUUAUAUCAGUUCAAUCUUGACAACCUUAUUGUCUUUUUGUAUAUUUUUAAAUGUAUUUCUAAUUACAUAUGGACACAAAAAUGACAUUGUAAGAAGGGAUACUUUUAUGAGAGAUUGUAAAACUGCCGAGGCUGGGUUUGAUUAUAUUAUAUUGUCUUAAUAUAUUGUAUUCGGGGUAAGUAAAUCUUAAAACGAAAACAAAUCAUUAAUCAUCAUUUACCUGCCUGUUGUUUUUCAGAUCAACUGCUAUUGACAUUUUUGAAUCGGGGCAAAUGUGGAGUGAAGAAAAACGUUUGCAACACAUCCAUUCCAGAGUGCUCUGACAGAUAAAACUGACACGCUUGAUGAGGACACAGUCAAAGCUUUAAAAGCCCGUGUGAUAAAGCAGUCUUCAAUUACUACGGUGUCUGAAUUGCAAGAAGAAGUGACCCUCCACUUAAACAUGUGACAUCUAAACUGUUUUGUGUUUUAGUUCAGCUUUUUAUAGGUUUAUCUUAAGUUGGUUAAAGGCGGAGUGCACUAUUUUUGAAAGCCAAUGUUAACAUUUGAAAUUACCUAAACAAACAUGCCUCUACCCCAAUAGAAUCUGGACCUUCUUUUGAUAGAGCCACCACACACAUACGCAACCCCGGCUAGGAUGUCGGUUAGUAGACACGCCCCUUACUGCUGGUUGGCUACAAGUGUGUUUUGGUAGUCGGCCCAAUUUUCUUUUCCAAAGCGUUUUUCAAACAUUGUGCA